rnacentral:rRNA from 1 species
GGGACUGCCAUCGACAAGAUGGAGGAAGGUGGGGAUGACGUCAAGUCAUCAUGGCCCUUAUGUCCAGGGCGACACACGUGCUACAAUGGCCGGCACAACGGGAAGCGAGUUCGCGAGGACGAGCGGAUCCCUCAAAGCCGGUCGCAGUUCGGAUUGAAGUCUGCAACUCGACUUCAUGAAGCUGGAAUCGCUAGUAAUCGUGGAUCAGCCAAGCCGCGGUGAAUACGUUCCCGGGCCUU